UACGUAGGGGGCUAGCGUUGUCCGGAUUUAUUGGGCGUAAAGAGCGUGUAGGCGGCCAGGUAGGUCUGCUGUGAAAACUCGAGGCUCAACCUCGAGACGUCGGCGGAAACCAUCUGGCUAGAGUCCGGAAGAGGAGAGUGGAAUUCCUGGUGUAGCGGUGAAAUGCGUAGAUAUCGAGAGGAACACCUGCGGCGAAGGCGGGUUGCUGGGCCGACACUGACGCUGAUGCGCGAAAGCCAGGGGAGCGAACGGG
rnacentral:rRNA from 1 species